rnacentral:rRNA from 1 species
CAGUCGCCGCGGUAAUACGGAGGGUGCAAGCGAUAUCCGGAUUUAUUGGGUUUAAAGGGUCCGUAGGCGGAUCUGUAAGUCAGUGGUGAAAUCUCACAGCUUAACUGUGAAACUGCCAUUGAUACUGCAGGUCUUGAGUAAAUUUGAAGUGGCUGGAAUAAGUAGUGUAGCGGUGAAAUGCAUAGAUAUUACUUAGAACACCAAUUGCGAAGGCAGGUCACUAAGAUUUAACUGACGCUGAUGGACGAAAGCGUGGGGAGCGAACAGGAUUAGAUACCCCAGUAGUCCCUGUCUCUUAUAC